rnacentral:lncRNA from 1 species
GGGGCAUUGUGACAUAUCGCUGGGCCUUGCACUUAGGUGAUGUUCUGCUAGCAAGGAAGACUGAGACAUAUUGUGGGGCUCUACGCCAAUGUGACAUUACUGUUCUGCCUUGGCCUGUACCUGAAAAGGCAUUGUGACAUAUUGCUGGGCCCAGCAACAAGGUGGCAUGAGUCUUCCGUAUGGACCCUGACAACAGAGCAUUGUGACAUAUCUUUAAGAGCAUCAACUAUUUGAUGUGACUCUCCUUUUCUACCAAGGCUUUCCUCAUAUGAGAGAUUGUGACACAUCUUCUGGCACAGAAAUCAAGUGAUGUGUUUCUCCUGCCUGAGCUUUGCUCAUAGAAAGCAUUGUGACAUAUCUCUGGUCUCAGCACCCAGGUGUGAUUUUGACGCACACUUCUGCCCAGCACCUGAGUAAUGUGAUUCUUCAGAAUUGGCCCGGCCCACAAAUAGGAUUGUGCCACACUGCUGGACCCAGUGCCUAAGUGAUGUAACUCUAUUCUUCUGCCUUGGUGCUACUCGAAAAAGACAUUGUAACAUAUCUCAGAGCCUUACACCCAGGUAAUGUGAGUCUCCUCUUCUGCCUUGCUGCUGCACACAGAAGCGGAAUAUGUACAGGAUUGUUAAUCUCAUCUUGGAUCUUCCUGCACUUGUGAUUGUGACACAUGCCUCUGUGUAGAACCUGAGUGAGUUUACUCUCCUGCCUGGAUUUAACCCAUAGAUGGAAUCGUGACAUAUCACUGUACCAGAAACUAGGUGAUGUGAC